CGAUCAGUAGCCGACCUGAGAGGGCGACCGGCCACAUUGGGACUGAGACACGGCCCAAACUCCUACGGGAGGCAGCAGUGGGGAAUAUUGCACAAUGGGGGAAACCCUGAUGCAGCGACGCCGCGUGAGUGAGGAAGUAUUUCGGUAUGUAAAGCUCUAUCAGCAGGGAAGAAAAUGACGGUACCUGACUAAGAAGCCCCGGCUAACUACGUGCCAGCAGCCGCGGUAAUACGUAGGGGGCAAGCGUUAUCCGGAUUUACUGGGUGUAAAGGGAGCGUAGACGGAUAAGCAAGUCUGAUGUGAAAAUCCGGGGCUCAACCCCGGAAUUGCAUUGGAAACUGCAUAUCUAGAGUGUCGGAGAGGCAAGUGGAAUUCCUGGUGUAGCGGUGAAAUGCGUAGAUAUCAGGAGGAACACCAGUGGCGAAGGCGGCUUGCUGGACGAUGACUGACGUUGAGGCUCGAAAGCGUGGGGAGCAAACAGGAUUAGAUACCCUGGUAGUCCACGCCGUAAACGAUGACUACUAGGUGUCGGGAGGCAAAGCCUUUCG
rnacentral:rRNA from 1 species